UCUUUGCUAGGCUUUUGCCAAGAGUAAAUAUCUUGGAGAAUAAGUGGUGGGAAAGACUGGUGCCAGCCGCCGCGGUAACACCAGCGCCACGAAUGGGGAUCCUGUUUAUUUGGCCUAAAGCGUCCGUAGCUGGUUUAGUAAAUCUCUUGUGAAAUCGUUAGGCUUAACUUAACGGCGUGCAGGAGAGACUGCUAGACUAGGGACCGGGAGGAGUCAGAGGUAUGUUGGGGGGAGCGGUAAAAUGCUAUAAUCCUCAGUAGACCACCUAUGGCGAAGGCAUCUGACUAGAACGGGUCCGACAGUGAGGGACGAAAGCCAGGGGAGCAAACCGGAUUAGAUACCCGAGUAGUCCUGGCUGUAAACGCUGCGAGCUAGGUGUUGCAUAUUCUCCGUGAAUAUGCAGUGUCGAAGCGAAGGUGUUAAGCUCGCCGCCUGGGAAGUAUGGUCGCAAGACUGAAGCUUAAAGGAAUUGGCGGGGGAGCACUACAAGGGGUGCGGCGUGCGGUUUAAUCUAACUCCACACAGAGAAUCUCACCAGAAGCGACGGCAGGAUGAAGGUCAGUCUGAAGGGCUUACCUGACGAGCCGAGAGGUAGUGCAUGGCCGCCGUCAGCUCGUGCCGUAAGGUGUCCUGUUAAGUCAGGCAACGAGCGAGACCUGUAUUCACAAUUGCUAACGACUCAUCUUGAGAAUCGAGCACAUUGUGGGGACUGCCUUGGAAACAAGGAGGAAGGUGCAGGCAACGGUAGGUCUGUAUGCUCCGAAUCUUCUGGGCUACACGCGCGCAACAAUGGUACGGACAAUGGGCUGCAACUCCGAAAGGAGAAGCUAAACCUCGAAACCGUAUCUAAGUCCAGAUUGAGGAUUGUAACCCAUCCUCAUGACGCUGGAAUCCCUAGUAAUCGAAUGUCAUGAGCGUUCGGUGAGUAUGUGCCUGCUCCUUGCACGAAUUCGCCGA
rnacentral:rRNA from 1 species